rnacentral:rRNA from 1 species
GACGAACGCUGGCGGCGUGCUUAACACAUGCAAGUCGAACGGAAAGGCCCUGCUUUUGUGGGGUGCUCGAGUGGCGAACGGGUGAGUAACACGUGAGUAACCUGCCCUUGACUUUGUGAUAACUUCAGGAAACUGGUGCUAAUACCGGAUAGGAGCUCCUGCUGCUUGGUGGGGGUUGGAACGUUUCGGCGGUUGGGGAUGGACUCGCGGCUUAUCAGCUUGUGGGUGGGGUAGCGGCUUACCAAGGCUUUGACGGGUAGCCGGCCUGAGAGGGUGACCGGCGACAUUGGGACUGAGAUACGGCCCAGACUCGUACGGGAGGCAGAAGUGGGGAAUAUUGCACAAUGGGCGGAAGCCUGAUGCAGAAACGUCGCGUGCGGGAUGACGGCCUUCGGGUUGUAAACCGCUUUAGCCUGUGACGAAGCGUGAGUGACGGUAAUGGGUAAAGAAGCACCGGCUAACUACGUG